rnacentral:rRNA from 1 species
CACGUAGGGGACGAGCGUUGUCCGGAUUCAUUGGGCGUAAAGCGCGCGUAGGCGGCUCGGAAAGUCGGUCGUGAAAUGCCGGGGCUCAACCCGGGACUGCGUCCGAUACUCCCGAGCUGGAGGCAGGUAGGGAGAUCGGAAUUCCUGGUGUAGCGGUGAAAUGCGCAGAUAUCAGGAGGAACACCGGUGGCGAAGGCGGAUCUCUGGGCCUUGCCUGACGCUGAGGCGCGAAAGCUAGGGAGCGAACAGG